rnacentral:rRNA from 1 species
UACGUAGGGGGCAAGCGUUGUCCGGAAUCAUUGGGCGUAAAGAGCGCGUAGGCGGCCCUGUAAGUCCGCUGUGAAAGUCAAGGGCUCAACCCUUGGAUGCCGGUGGAUACUGCAGGGCUAGAGUCCGGAAGAGGCGAGUGGAAUUCCUGGUGUAGCGGUGAAAUGCGCAGAUAUCAGGAGGAACACCGGUGGCGGAGGCGGCUAUCUGGACAGAGUCUGACGCUGAGGCGCGAAAGCUAGGGGAGCAAACAGG